UGGCGGCAGGCCUAACACAUGCAAGUCGAGCGCUACCUUCGGGUGGAGCGGCGGACGGGUUAGUAACGCGUGGGAAUAUACCCUUCACUAUGGAAUAGCCUCGGGAAACUGAGAGUAAUACCAUAUACGCCCUUCGGGGGAAAGAUUUAUCGGUGAAGGAUUAGCCCGCGUAAGAUUAGAUAGUUGGUGGGGUAAUGGCCUACCAAGUCUACGAUCUUUAGCUGGUUUUAGAGGAUGAUCAGCAACACUGGGACUGAGACACGGCCCAGACUCCUACGGGAGGCAGCAGUGGGGAAUCUUAGACAAUGGGCGAAAGCCUGAUCUAGCCAUGCCGCGUGAGUGAUGAAGGUCUUAGGAUCGUAAAGCUCUUUCGCUAGGGAUGAUAAUGACAGUACCUAGUAAAGAAGCCCCGGCUAACUCCGUGCCAGCAGCCGCGGUAAUACGGAGGGGGCUAGCGUUGUUCGGAAUUACUGGGCGUAAAGCGUACGUAGGCGGAUCAGAAAGUAUGGGGUGAAAUCCCAGGGCUUAACCCUGGAACUGCCUCAUAAACUCCUGGUCUUGAGUUCGAGAGAGGUGAGUGGAAUUCCAAGUGUAGAGGUGAAAUUCGUAGAUAUUUGGAGGAACACCAGUGGCGAAGGCGGCUCACUGGCUCGAUACUGA
rnacentral:rRNA from 1 species